GCCGGGGUAGCUCAGCGGUUAGUAGCAGGGUCUUCAUAAGGCCAAGGUCGUGAGUUCAAAUCUCACCCCC
rfam:Parcubacteria group bacterium CG1_02_39_15 cg1_0.2_scaffold_467_c, whole genome shotgun sequence.